rnacentral:rRNA from 1 species
GACAGUGGGGGCAAGCGUUGCUCGGAAUCACUGGGCGUAAAGGGCGCGUAGGCGGGACGCCAAGUCGGUCGUGAAAUCUCCGGGCUCAACCCGGAGGAGUCGGCCGAAACUGGUGUUCUUGAGGGAGGCAGAGGAAGGUGGAAUUCCACGUGUAGCGGUGAAAUGCGUAGAGAUGUGGAGGAACACCGAUGGCGAAGGCAGCCUUCUGGGCCAAUACUGACGCUCAUGCACGAAAGCGUGGGGAGCAAACAGG